UACGUAGGGGGCAAGCGUUGUCCGGAAUUAUUGGGCGUAAAGGGCUCGUAGGCGGUCUGUUGCGUCGGGAGUGAAAACUCAGGGCUUAACCCUGAGCCUGCUUCCGAUACGGGCAGACUAGAGGUAUGCAGGGGAGAACGGAAUUCCUGGUGUAGCGGUGAAAUGCGCAGAUAUCAGGAGGAACACCGGUGGCGAAGGCGGGUCUCUGGGCCGAUACUGACGCUGAGGAGCGAAAGCGUGGGGAGCAAACAGG
rnacentral:rRNA from 1 species